AAAAAAAAAAAAAAUUGUAACCGUGUUAAAACUACAAUGGAUACAUCUUACUUUAAGCAAACUACUAUGUGCGCAAGCUCUUCUAAUUACGUAAGAGCUUCAACCUGUCCACUGAAAGCUACAGACUUCCAUAAUGUUGUCCUUCCAUAAGGAGGAUCAUAAGGGUUAGUUUGUGAGAGGGAGAAAAGUAGGAAAAGUAGUAGGCUAUUUGUGUGAGAUAAGAAGAGCAAGAAAACUUAGUAAAAAUUCCAAGAACUCAGGAACUUUGCAGCCUACCGUGAUUUGUCAGUUUGUGUGUACAAUAUCUCCUGAUCUGGGAAAUAGCAAGUCACGCUGGCUUUCACUCCGCUUUGACAACUUGACUGCUGCAACUUCAGAUCAUGUGUUGACAUUAUAGGCUAACUGUAUCUUGCUCAUCUAGUUUGGCUGCCUCCCUUUAAUCCCUCCGGGCAUCAGCUGUGCCAUGAAGUACCCUCACAUGCGGCUCGACUGUACAUUCCACCGGAGAAAACCGCGCGCGGUGAGGCUGACCCGUCAUAUCUACAGCCGUAGACCCGACACCACCCGUUUCUUUCCCACCAAGGCGGGUGUUAUCGAGGGCACAGCCGCGGAAGUGCGAAACUUCAGACAUGCUGUCCUUCCGGCUCAUCCAGUAAUUACUGAUUACAUUAAUUCUGGUAUGAGCAUCCAGUCACCAGCUGAUGGCAGCCCACGGAGCCAAUGCCUUUUGGGACAGGGAGGCUGUUGGGGAAGUCAAUGACCUCUCUAAGUGAUGAAGGAGAGCAGAAUGAGAUGCAGUCCGGUCCAUUCGGGUCUCAGAGGGGUUGUAAAUAGAUUUGCUUGUUAAAGAAGUACUUUUUCCUGGCUGAUUUUACCACACUUACACUUUCCUCAAGCCCUUCCAACUCAGGUUCUUUCCUCAAUUUGCACACAAACACAACUAGAAGAUGAAAGAACAGAAGAAAUUUCUUGUGACGUAUGUGAGAGAAUCCUCUCCAACGCAGCCAUCACUCGGCUUGCCCGAUUUACAGGGCCAAAUCACUUAGACUCUUACAGUCAAUCAAUUGCAUUUACAUCUAUUGUGACUCGGCC
ensembl:lncRNA